GGAGAGGUGGCCGAGUGGUUGAAGGCGCCGGUCUUGAAAACCGGAGACCCGCAAGGGUCCGCAGGUUCAAAUCCUGUCCUCUCCGCCA
rnacentral:tRNA from 1 species